UUCCACACGUACCCAUCCCGAACACGACCGUUAAGCCCUCCAGCGCCGAUGGUACUUGGACCGCAGGGUCCUGGGAGAGUAGGACGUCGCCAAGC
rnacentral:rRNA from 1 species